AUUGAACGCUGGCGGCAGGCCUAACACAUGCAAGUCGAACGAGUGGCGGACGGGUGGGUAAUGUCUGGGAAACUGCCCGAUGGAGGGGGAUAACUACUGGAAACGGUAGCUAAUACCGCAUACCAUCGGAUGUGCCCAGAUGGGAUUAGCUAGUAGGUGGGGUAAUGGCUCACCUAGGCGACGAGCCCUAGCUGGUCGGAGAGGAUGACCAGCCACACUGGAACUGAACCAGGGUCCAGACUCCUGCGGGAGGCAGCAGUGGGGAACAUUGGACAGUGGGCGCGAACCUGAUGCAGCCAUGCCGCGUGUAUGAAGAAGGCCUGCGGGUUGUAAAGUACUUCUGGCGAGGAGGCGUUACUCGCAGAAGAAGCACCGGCUAACUCCGUGCCAGCAGCCGCGGUAAUUC
rnacentral:rRNA from 1 species